GAGUUUGAUCAUGGCUCAGAAUGAACGUUGGCGGCGUGGAUUAGGCAUGCGAGUCGUGCGAGAACCGUAGCAAUACGGGGACAGCGGCGAAAGGGAGAGGAACACGUGGAUACCUACCCUCAGGUUCAGGAUAGCUAUGGGAAACUAUAGGUAAUACUGAAUAAUAUCUCCGGAUCAAAGGUGUGAUUCCGCCGGAGGAGGGGUCCGCGUCCUAUUAGCUAGUUGGUGAGGUAAUGGCUCACCAAGGCGAAGAUGGGUACGGGAUGUGAGAACAUGAUCCCGCUCAUUGGGACUGAGACACUGCCCAGACACCUACGGGUGGCUGCAGUCGAGAAUCUUCGGCAAUGGGGGAAACCCUGACCGAGCGACGCCGCGUGUGAGAUGAAGGCCUUCGGGUUGUAAAUCACUGUCGUAGAGGAGGAAGUGUAGGUGGGUUCUCCCACUUAUUUGACCUAUUCUAGGAGGAAGGACGGGCUAAGUUCGUG
rnacentral:rRNA from 1 species